rnacentral:rRNA from 1 species
UAUCAAUAAGCGGAGGAAAAGAAACCAACAGGGAUUGCCUCAGUAACGGCGAGUGAAGCGGCAUAAGCUCAAAUUUGAAAUCUGAUGCUCCUAGAGUAUCCGAGUUGUAAUUUGGAGAGGCAACUUCCGACGGGCCUUCAACCUAUGUUCUUUGGAACAAGACGUCACAGAGGGUGAGAAUCCCGUGCAUGGUUGAAGACGCCCGUUGUAUGUGAAGUGCUUUCAACGAGUCGAGUUGUUUGGGAAUGCAGCUCAAAAUUGGGUGGUAAAUUUCAUCUAAAGCUAAAUAUUGGCGAGAGACCGAUAGCGCACAAGUAGAGUGAUCGAAAGAUGAAAAGCACUUUGAAAAGAGAGUCAAACAGUACGUGAAAUUGUUGAAAGGGAAGCGCUUGUAACCAGACCUGGUUGAGAAUGAUCAACCGUUCAUUAUGAACGGUGCACUUGUUCUUGCAUCAGGCCAACGUCGGUCGACACCGUGGGUCAAUGGUUAAGGGAAUGUGGCACUCUUCGGGGUGAGUUUAUAGCCCUUGGCAGUAUACCAUGAGCGUCGACCGUGGACCGCGCAUUAGCUAGGACGUUGGCUUAAUGGUUUUCAGCGACCCGUCUUGAAACACGGACCAAGGAGUCUAACAUCUAUGCGAGUGUUUGGGUGUAAAACCCUUGCGCGGAAUGAAAGUGAACGUGGGUGGGAACCCUUCCGGGGUGCACCAUCGACCGAUCCUGAUGUCUUCGGAUGGAUUUGAGUAGGAGCAUAGCUGUUGGGACCCGAAAGAUGGUGAACUAUGCCUGAAUAGGGUGAAGCCAGAGGAAACUCUGGUGGAGGCUCGCAGCGGUUCUGACGUGCAAAUCGAUCGUCAAAUUUGGGUAUAGGGGCGAAAGACUAAUCGAACCAUCUAGUAGCUGGUUCCUGCCGAA